AACCAGCUCUUCAAGUGGUCGGGAUAAUUAUUGGGCUUAAAGUGUCCGUAGCCGGUUUGGAAAGUUCCUGGUAAAAUCGGAUAGCUUAACUAUCUGCAUGCUAAGAAUACUACCAUACUAGAGGGCGGGAGAGGUCUGAGGUACUACAGCGGUAGGGGUGAAAUCUUAUAAUCCUUGUAGGACCACCAGUGGCGAAGGCGUCAGACUGGAACGCGCCUGACGGUGAGGGACGAAAGCCAGGGGAGCGAACCGGAUUAGAUACCCGGGUAGUCCUGGCUGUAAACGAUGCAUACUAGGUGAUGGUACGGCCAUGAGCCGUAUCAGUGCCGUAGGGAAACCGUUAAGUAUGCCGCCUGGGAAGUACGGUCGCAAGGCUAAAACUUAAAGGAAUUGGCGGGGGAGCACCACAAGGGGUGAAGCCUGCGGUUU
rnacentral:rRNA from 1 species